UUUACUCUUUUGGAUAAACUUUGCCACUGCUUUUUUUUUUUUUUUGUACCAGGGAUCGAACUCAGGACCUUCUGCUUUUGAGGUGGGCGGUGGCACCACUGAGCUAAAUCCCUGGCCCUGCCACUGCUUUUUGCUUGUUUCAUUGAAUUCUUUAUUCAAGAUGAGAAGAACCUGGAAUCCAACUCCAGAAGGACAGGAGUAUAAUCGCUGUUCAUAUGGUAACUUAAACCAUAUGAAAGAGAAAGCCAGGUUGUUCUACAAAGUGCUUAUAUCAUUUUACAUUCCCAGCAGCACUAUAUGAGGCUCCCAAUUCUCCAUAUUCUCACCAACACUUGUGUUAUGACAUGUUUUUAGAUGUCCCUCCAAUACUUCAUUCAAAUGAGGUGGGCUAUUUUGGAGGUGGCUGAAUCCAGAGUGUGUGAUUCAUGGUGCAAUGCUAGGCCCGAGAGCACUUGGAUUAAGGGUGUGAGUACUACGCAAUUUAAGUAGUCUGAAUAAGGUUAAAAAAAAAAAGAAAAGCACUGAGAAGCUGUUAAGGUUCCUUGUUGCUUUUGCUGUCUUCUGCUGCCCUGAACUGCCUCUCUGCCACCCUGCCUUGAAG
ensembl:lncRNA